UGUGAAACCAAACAAUCCAAAAUCGAGUGUGAAACAACUCAAAAUUAAGUAGUUUACUAACACUGUCUUUUUGGAUUGUUUUUUUAUUUACAUUGAUGGGUGAUUUUAACUUAAUUUGGGGGUUAUCUCCAAUAAGUCACCUUCGCGUUGUUGCUUUCCAUUAAAGUACCCAAACCGAUGUGUUGUCUAUUAACUUCAGUUUGGCUGAAAAAAUACUUUGUAAGUCAGCAUGUUCCAGGGGCUGCUAUUGAAAAUAUUUAUUAUUUAUGGAAUUAAAUAUGGAGCCUUCAGAAAAAUCAACCAAGUUCACGGCGGACAUUCGUCACCAAAAACUUUAUGCGAGCGCAACUGAGAAGCAACAUUGGCAAAUCGGCAAAUAUUAUAUUUUCUUUCUACGAGGUACAACCAUCUUCCGUUUGGAUUAUUCGGAAAUGUUCAUAUAGGACCGAUACAAAACCAUUGAGACUGUGCCACUGUGAAAUGGGCGUUGGCGAGGGCGUUGAUGGCGUGAGGGACCGGAUCCAGUAUAUUUGUGGCAGCAAUAUUCUAUACACGGUUUGGCAAGAUCUGGUUUCUAACUAAGGUGUAAAUGUAUGUAAUCGAAAUAAAAUAAUUAUGUCUUUGCAUCUAUCACAUGAAUCACAUUUAAUGAAGAAAAAUACAUAAUUUAAUAAAAUUUUGUGGGAAAAUUGAUUCUUGAUUUUGAGUACUUUUCAUCCAAACCGAAGUCUUUUUAGAACAGUAAUUUUCACUCAAAGCUAGGUCUUCGAAAACUACUUAAAAUUAA